rnacentral:rRNA from 1 species
UGCCAGCANHMGCGGUUAUACCUCUAGCCUAAACUUUAUAUAUGAAGGUAAAGUGGUCAUUAAUAAUAAAGAAAGAAAUUUAUUUAUAGUUUAAUAUUUAUAUAAACAACCGCACUUUCAAAAUAUAAAACCACGAAAAUAUACAAUAGAACUAGGAUUAGAGACCCUACUACUAAAUAUCUUAAAAUCUUUACCUGGGAAUUAAAAGAAAAACCCUUAAAACCUAAAGAGCUUGGCGGUCUUUCAAAAAAUCAGGGGAAUUUGCCCUUUAAUCAAUAAUCCGUGCUAAUUCCUACCUUCUCUAGACUAUAUUCCAAAAGUUCAAAAGGAUUAUUAACUUUCUCAGUUUGUAUAUCUCCGUCCAGUUAAUCUCUAAGAGAAUUAGCAAAAGAAUUAAACACUCUCUACAUCAGGUCAAGAUACAGCCUAUGAGAAGGCUUGUGGUGAAUUACAGUAUACAUAACUGGAUUAAGAGUUGAAAAACUCUUAUGAAAGAGGACUUGAAAGUAAUUUCUUGUUAAAAUGAAGAAAUGAAGACAUGUGAAAGGUGCACAUAUCGCCCAUCAUUGCCGCUAAAUAGUGGGAWAAGUCGUAACAHAGUA